rnacentral:rRNA from 3 species
UUAAGCGACUAAGCGUACACGGUGGAUGCCCUGGCAGUCAGAGGCGAUGAAGGACGUGCUAAUCUGCGAUAAGCGUCGGUAAGGUGAUAUGAACCGUUAUAACCGGCGAUUUCCGAAUGGGGAAACCCAGUGUGUUUCGACACACUAUCAUUAACUGAAUCCAUAGGUUAAUGAGGCGAACCGGGGGAACUGAAACAUCUAAGUACCCCGAGGAAAAGAAAUCAACCGAGAUUCCCCCAGUAGCGGCGAGCGAACGGGGAGCAGCCCAGAGCCUGAAUCAGUGUGUGUGUUAGUGGAAGCGUCUGGAAAGGCGCGCGAUACAGGGUGACAGCCCCGUACACAAAAAUGCACAUGCUGUGAGCUCGAUGAGUAGGGCGGGACACGUGGUAUCCUGUCUGAAUAUGGGGGGACCAUCCUCCAAGGCUAAAUACUCCUGACUGACCGAUAGUGAACCAGUACCGUGAGGGAAAGGCGAAAAGAACCCCGGCGAGGGGAGUGAAAAAGAACCUGAAACCGUGUACGUACAAGCAGUGGGAGCACAGAGCAAUCUGUGUGACUGCGUACCUUUUGUAUAAUGGGUCAGCGACUUAUAUUCUGUAGCAAGGUUAACCGAAUAGGGGAGCCGAAGGGAAACCGAGUCUUAACUGGGCGUUAAGUUGCAGGGUAUAGACCCGAAACCCGGUGAUCUAGCCAUGGGCAGGUUGAAGGUUGGGUAACACUAACUGGAGGACCGAACCGACUAAUGUUGAAAAAUUAGCGGAUGACUUGUGGCUGGGGGUGAAAGGCCAAUCAAACCGGGAGAUAGCUGGUUCUCCCCGAAAGCUAUUUAGGUAGCGCCUCGUGAAUUCAUCUCCGGGGGUAGAGCACUGUUUCGGCAAGGGGGUCAUCCCGACUUACCAACCCGAUGCAAACUACGAAUACCGGAGAAUGUUAUCACGGGAGACACACGGCGGGUGCUAACGUCCGUCGUGAAGAGGGAAACAACCCAGACCGCCAGCUAAGGUCCCAAAGUCAUGGUUAAGUGGGAAACGAUGUGGGAAGGCCCAGACAGCCAGGAUGUUGGCUUAGAAGCAGCCAUCAUUUAAAGAAAGCGUAAUAGCUCACUGGUCGAGUCGGCCUGCGCGGAAGAUGUAACGGGGCUAAACCAUGCACCGAAGCUGCGGCAGCGACGCUGAUGCGUUGUUGGGUAGGGGAGCGUUCUGUAAGCCUGCGAAGGUGUGCUGUGAGGCAUGCUGGAGGUAUCAGAAGUGCGAAUGCUGACAUAAGUAACGAUAAAGCGGGUGAAAAGCCCGCUCGCCGGAAGACCAAGGGUUCCUGUCCAACGUUAAUCGGGGCAGGGUGAGUCGACCCCUAAGGCGAGGCCGAAAGGCGUAGUCGAUGGGAAACAGGUUAAUAUUCCUGUACUUGGUGUUACUGCGAAGGGGGGACGGAGAAGGCUAUGUUGGCCGGGCGACGGUUGUCCCGGUUUAAGCGUGUAGGCUGGUUUUCCAGGCAAAUCCGGAAAAUCAAGGCUGAGGCGUGAUGACGAGGCACUACGGUGCUGAAGCAACAAAUGCCCUGCUUCCAGGAAAAGCCUCUAAGCAUCAGGUAACAUCAAAUCGUACCCCAAACCGACACAGGUGGUCAGGUAGAGAAUACCAAGGCGCUUGAGAGAACUCGGGUGAAGGAACUAGGCAAAAUGGUGCCGUAACUUCGGGAGAAGGCACGCUGAUAUGUAGGUGAAGUCCCUCGCGGAUGGAGCUGAAAUCAGUCGAAGAUACCAGCUGGCUGCAACUGUUUAUUAAAAACACAGCACUGUGCAAACACGAAAGUGGACGUAUACGGUGUGACGCCUGCCCGGUGCCGGAAGGUUAAUUGAUGGGGUUAGCGCAAGCGAAGCUCUUGAUCGAAGCCCCGGUAAACGGCGGCCGUAACUAUAACGGUCCUAAGGUAGCGAAAUUCCUUGUCGGGUAAGUUCCGACCUGCACGAAUGGCGUAAUGAUGGCCAGGCUGUCUCCACCCGAGACUCAGUGAAAUUGAACUCGCUGUGAAGAUGCAGUGUACCCGCGGCAAGACGGAAAGACCCCGUGAACCUUUACUAUAGCUUGACACUGAACAUUGAGCCUUGAUGUGUAGGAUAGGUGGGAGGCUUUGAAGUGUGGACGCCAGUCUGCAUGGAGCCGACCUUGAAAUACCACCCUUUAAUGUUUGAUGUUCUAACGUGGACCCGUAAUCCGGGUUGCGGACAGUGUCUGGUGGGUAGUUUGACUGGGGCGGUCUCCUCCUAAAGAGUAACGGAGGAGCACGAAGGUUGGCUAAUCCUGGUCGGACAUCAGGAGGUUAGUGCAAUGGCAUAAGCCAGCUUGACUGCGAGCGUGACGGCGCGAGCAGGUGCGAAAGCAGGUCAUAGUGAUCCGGUGGUUCUGAAUGGAAGGGCCAUCGCUCAACGGAUAAAAGGUACUCCGGGGAUAACAGGCUGAUACCGCCCAAGAGUUCAUAUCGACGGCGGUGUUUGGCACCUCGAUGUCGGCUCAUCACAUCCUGGGGCUGAAGUAGGUCCCAAGGGUAUGGCUGUUCGCCAUUUAAAGUGGUACGCGAGCUGGGUUUAGAACGUCGUGAGACAGUUCGGUCCCUAUCUGCCGUGGGCGCUGGAGAAUUGAGGGGGGCUGCUCCUAGUACGAGAGGACCGGAGUGGACGCAUCACUGGUGUUCGGGUUGUCAUGCCAAUGGCACUGCCCGGUAGCUAAAUGCGGAAGAGAUAAGUGCUGAAAGCAUCUAAGCACGAAACUUGCCCCGAGAUGAGUUCUCCCUGACUCCUUGAGAGUCCUGAAGGAACGUUGAAGACGACGACGUUGAUAGGCCGGGUGUGUAAGCGCAGCGAUGCGUUGAGCUAACCGGUACUAAUGAACCGUGAGGCUUAACCUU